rnacentral:rRNA from 1 species
GGAAUAUUGCGCAAUGGGGGAAACCCUGACGCAGCAACGCCGCGUGGAGGAAGAAGGUCUUCGGAUUGUAAACUCCUGUCUUCUG